CCCUGUAAACUGCAUUUUCCUCAUUAAGAAACCAGAGCAAAGAUUCCUGCAAUACUGUUGACCUAUUAUUCAUCAAGAGGAAUUUUUUUUCUUACUUUAUGAAGCAAUUCUUUGGAAGUUUGGUUGGUAUAACACUGAAUAUGCAAGUUAAUUUAGGUAUUAUUUUCAUUUUUAUUAUAUCAGCUUAGUCUACUAAUGAGCAAUUAAUAUUUCUCCAGUUUUUUAGAACUGCUUUAUUCAUGUGAAAAAGUGUUUUUU
rnacentral:lncRNA from 1 species